rnacentral:miRNA from 1 species
UAUACCCUGGAAAGAAGGCACUUAUUGCAUUAAAGAAGUGAGCCAAGGACUGAGAACGCUAGGAGACAAUUAAUAGUGUGAAGCUUCUGCUUCGAGAAGGAUAAUCCACUG